rnacentral:rRNA from 1 species
CAUGGAGCCGCCAUUGGUACAGAUCUUGGUGGUAGUAGCAAAUAAUCGAAUGAGACCUUGGAGGACUGAAGUGGAGAAGGGUUUCGUGUGAACAGUGGUUGAUCACGAGUUAGUCGGUCCUAAGUUCAAGGCGAAAGCCGAAAAUUUUCAAGUUUUAAAAAUGUCAAAUGAAAUAAUAAAUAAUAAAACACUUGAAUAAUUUUGAACGAAAGGGAAUACGGUUCCAAUUCCGUAACCUGUUGAGUAUCCGUUUGUUAUUAAAUAUGGGCCUCGUGCUCAUCCUGGCAACAGGAACGACCAUAAAGAAGCCGUCGAGAGGUAUCGGAAGAGUUUUCUUUUCUGUUUUAUAGCCGUACUACCAUGGAAGUCUUUCGCAGAGAGAUAUGGUAGAUGGGCUAGAAGAGCAUGACAUAUACUGUUGUGUCGAUAUUUUCUCCUCGGACCUUGAAAAUUUAUGGUGGGGAUACGCAAACUUCUCAACAGGCCGUACCAAUAUCCGCAGCUGGUCUCCAAGGUGAAGAGUCUCUAGUCGAUAGAAUAAUGUAGGUAAGGGAAGUCGGCAAAUUAGAUCCGUAACUUCGGGAUAAGGAUUGGCUCUGAAGAUUGAGAUAGUCGGGCUUGAUUGGGAAACAAUAACAUGGUUUAUGUGCUCGUUCUGGGUAAAUAGAGUUUCUAUCAUUUAUGAUAGUUAUUUGUUCCCCGGAUAGUUAGUUACGUAGCCAAUUGUGGAACUUUCUUGCUAAAAUUUUUAAGAAUACUAAUUUUUAAUUAGUUCUUUUAAAUUAUAACGAUUAUCAAUUAACAAUCAAUUCAGAACUGGCACGGACUUGGGGAAUCCGACUGUCUAAUUAAAACAAAGCAUUGUGAUGGCCCUAGCGGGUGUUGACACAAUGUGAUUUCUGCCCAGUGCUCUGAAUGUCAAAGUGAAGAAAUUCAAGUAAGCGCGGGUCAACGGCGGGAGUAACUAUGACUCUCUUAAGGUAGCCAAAUGCCUCGUCAUCUAAUUAGUGACGCGCAUGAAUGGAUUAACGAGAUUCUACUGUCCCUAUCUACUAUCUAGCGAAACCACAGCCAAGGGAACGGGCUUGGAAUAAUUAGCGGGGAAAGAAGACCCUUUUGAGCUUGACUCUAAUCUGGCAGUGUAAGGAGACAUAAGAGGUGUAGAAUAAGUGGGAGAUAUUAUUCCUUGUGUUUGAUAUCGCCAAUGAAAUACCACUACUCUUAUUGUUUCCUUACUUACUUGAUUAAAUGGAACGUGUAUCAUUUCCUAGCCAUUAUACGGAUAUAUUUAUUAUAUCUUAUGGUAUUGGGUUUUGAUGCAAGCUUCUUGAUCAAAGUAUCACGAGUUUGUUAUAUAAUCGCAAACAAAUUCUUUAAUGAGAGAGUGCAUUUAUGUAUUUUUAAUUUGAAAUAUUUGGUAUAACUCCAAUUACUCAGGUAUGAUCCAAUUCAAGGACAUUGCCAGGUAGGGAGUUUGACUGGGGCGGUACAUCUCUCAAAUAAUAACGGAGGUGUCCCAAGGCCAGCUCAGUGCGGACAGAAACCACACAUAGAGCAAAAGGGCAAAUGCUGACUUGAUCUCGGUGUUCAGUACACACAGGGACAGCAAAAGCUCGGCCUAUCGAUCCUUUUGGUUUAAAGAGUUUUUAACAAGAGGUGUCAGAAAAGUUACCAUAGGGAUAACUGGCUUGUGGCGGCCAAGCGUUCAUAGCGACG